ensembl:lncRNA
GCCGUUUUCUGGCGGGGAUGGCUUGCCAUAUUGGAACAGUGCUUGUCGGCGUUCUAUGACGUGGCGUCCUUAAAUGGGCGGCCGUUGAGCAUGCUUCCUUAACAUUGGGAAACACCCAUGGUGGUUACCCCCAAUUAUCUAAAUGAAGACACCUGCUUGAUUUUUUCUUGCUGGAUGACAAGGGAAAUGGAAUAACAGUCAGGUGGAGCUUGCAGUUGCCAACAUCGUCAUUCACCUCCGCAGGUGUAAGCCGUGAAGAAGGAGCGAGGGAGGAGCUUGCAAUCGACUGACUGCUGGGACAACACUAUUCCUACCCCCACCUCUGAUGCAUCCACUUCUAAGGGGAACGGCAGCGAGUCUGUAAUGUUGGUUGCGCUCCAGGAACCCCUGGUCCACCUCAUGAAGAAGAAACCCAAGUUGUCUUCCUGGUGAGAGCAUUUAUUUGGGCAGCAACAGAACUAAAAUCCUGGAUGAAGCAGUGACCCAAAUUUGAAAACCCCAUUAAGCGUCUCACCUGUUUCACUGUCUGUCAUGGAAGACACCUUGCUCAUUUACAUCUUGAUUUGAGAGAUGGCCAGGAUAAAGCCAAGAAGUGUAAUGGAGCUGGCAUGAAACUCGCGUUACGCUUUUUUACACUCCAGGUACACAAAAACAAAUCUAUAAUGUGUUUGUCUAGCAUGUAACAAAGCAUGACAUUGACCAGGGCUUGGAAGGGCCGGACCAGAUAUCCAUAGUGCUCUGUCUUCCACUCAUCACCCUCACGGAUAUGAACCAGGUUGUAGGCAUUUCUAAGGUUUAUCUUAGUAAAAAUCGUGGAUCUUUGUAAAAUAGAAGGAGAAGUAGUUGGGCGGAUGAAGCCCAUCGCUAAUGCCUCCAUGGCUGCUGUCGCAGGAGGGACCAGGGAGUAGAGAGGACCCGAGUAGGACAGGAACCAGGCGGGCGGUUAAUCACACAUAUGGGUCAUAUGGGUGGUGUGGUGGCAAAGUGUUAGGCCCUUCUCUUGUUGAAGAACUCAUAGAGGUCAGCGUAGUUCAAAGGAACUUUGGACAAAUCCAGAAUCUUCACCCGAAGUAGAGAACCCCUGGUCCUCUCCUGGUAAGGCUUAAGACAUGUGUGAGAACAUGACGGACCCCGUUUCUUCAAUUGUUCCACCGUCCAAUCAACACGGGGAUCAUGCUGUGCUAGCCAGAAAUCCCAGUGUAUGAGGUGAACGAAAGUCUCUCUUUGUGAUCCCCUCCAGAGCUAAAAUGAGUGAUUAAGUGCAUUGACUGACCUUGCCGGAGCCCAAGGGACGGCCAUACAGGACAUUUACCUUUAAAGGAUCUUCCAGCUGGCUUAAAGGAACUCCCAACUCAUGGGCCCGUGAGAUGUCCAGGAAGUGACCCACUGCCCAGGAAUCAGUUGGUGGGUUGAAUCUCCCCACGAAAGGGAGGCAGAUUCAAGGCAAAAUUCCGGAAACAGGAAGCUUAUUUGCAGAGAUUUGACGCGUCAGAAGUUCAUCUUUACUGACGGGUCUCCUAUAUCAGGCUGCAUCGCUUGUACACCUGCUGACGAAGUUCCUGCUGGGUCAGACGUGUUCCUCCUAUCUCCAUAGGCUUCUCCAAAUACCCUUCAGAACUCUACGUGUUUGAAGGAGGCAGAACAACUGGUGAAGGUGCACCUGAUGGGUUCCGACUCAAAUGCUAGGUCACACUGAAUCAGGAAAGUUCUGCAAGUCUCUGGAUCCCCCUUGUAAUUCUCCGGAGUACAGAUGCUGGGCUUAGCUCCUUGGAGAAACAGGGCUGGCUCAGCCGGUUGUUGAGGAGACGGGCUUGGACCGGCAGAUGAGGAGGCUCCAGGCAGGAGUUGGUAACCAUCGAGAUUUGCCUACAUUCUCAGCGAAAAGAAGGCGAUGUUUUGUCAAGCCUGAAAGCAGAAGUAAACCUACCACUACCUCAAUCUCCAGAUCACAUGCAGACUGAUGGCAAGGACCCAAGUUAUAGCAAUGAUGAAGUCCCUGCAUUCGUCCCAUCAGGGAGAACAACAGCUAUUUGCAAUAGACGGACACCUUGUCAAUGCAUUCCAAGCCCUGCCGCUGAUGAGGAUUCUCCUGAAGUGCAACACAGGAGUCGCUGGUAGUUGUUUUAUUAUAAGUAGUAUUUGUUCAAGAGUAAAACAAAGCAUCGGACUGAUAUCGGUAUCGGCAUAUAGCCAAAGCUGCGGUUUCGGUAUCAAAAGUGAAAAGUGGUAUCGGGACAAUCCAAUACAAAUAUUGUAGAAAAAUAUUUAAGUUGUUGAUCUAUCUGAUGUCUUUUUUAGUUUAAUUUCGACUUUGAGUAUUUACAUUCAUACUAUUGAUUGAAUUCAUACAAAGACUCACACAGCAGUUCAUACAACACCAACUCUAUGUAGAAUUGCAAACAGGUCAAACAUGAGGGCAUUUGCUCUAACCAGAGCAAGUCACCUGCAUGGUGUCUGUUAUUCCUCCCUUUUCAACAAGUAAACACCUGUCAAUCUGACAUGGCAUGAUCAAGUCUGGCAUGUGAUAGGAGUUGAG